GAUGAACGCUGGCGGCGUGCCUAAUACAUGCAAGUCGAGCGAACAGACGAGGAGCUUGCUCCUCUGACGUUAGCGGCGGACGGGUGAGUAACACGUGGAUAACCUACCUAUAAGACUGGGAUAACUUCGGGAAACCGGAGCUAAUACCGGAUAAUAUAUUGAACCGCAUGGUUCAAUAGUGAAAGACGGUUUUGCUGUCACUGAUAGAUGGAUCCGCGCCGCAUUAGCUAGUUGGUAAGGUAACGGCUUACCAAGGCAACGAUGCGUAGCCGACCCGAGAGGGUGGUCGGCCACACUGGAACUGAGACACGCUCCAGACACCGACGGGAGGCAGCAGUAGGGAAUCCUCCGCAAUGGGCGAGAGCCUGACGGAGCAACGUCGCGUGAGUGAUGAAGGUCUUCGGAUCGUAAAACUCUGUUAUUAGGGAAGAACAAAUGUGUAAGUAACUAUGCACGUCUUGACGGUACCUAAUCAGAAAGCCACGGCUAACUACGUG
rnacentral:rRNA from 1 species